rnacentral:rRNA from 1 species
UACAGAGGUCCCAAGCGUUGUUCGGAUUCACUGGGCGUAAAGAGCGCGCAGGCGGUGUAUCAAGUCAGAUGUGAAAGAGGCCGGCUUAACCGGCAAGGGUCAUUUGAAACUGAUAGACUAGAGUGCAGCAGAGGAUAGUGGAAUUCACGGUGUAGUGGUGAAAUGCGUAGAUAUCGGGAGGAACACCAGUGGCGAAGGCGACUAUCUGGGCUGCAACUGACGCUGAGGCGCGAAGGCUAGGGUAGCAAACAGG